rnacentral:rRNA from 1 species
UUCGGAGAGUUUGAUCUUGGCUCAGGACGAACGCUGACGGUGUGCUUUAGACAUGCAAGUCGAACGAGAAAGCCCUUCGGGGUUAGUAGAGUGGCGAACGGGUGAGUAACACGUGGGCAACCAGCCCCUCACUGGGGGACAACCGGGGGAAACCCCGGCUAAUACCCCGUACGCUUGCCGGACCGCAUGGUCCGGUAAGGAAAGGUAGCUUCGGCCAUCCGGUGAGGGACGGGCCCGCGGUACAUUAGCUAGUUGGUGGGGUAACGGCCUACCAAGGCUACGAUGUAUAGCUGGUCUGAGAGGAUGAUCAGCCACACUGGGACUGAGACACGGCCCAGACUCCUACGGGAGGCAGCAGUCGGGAAUCUUGCGCAAUGGGCGAAAGCCUGACGCAGCAACACCGUGUGAGUGAUGAAGGCCUUAGGGUUGUAAAGCUCUGUUUGCGAGGACGAAGGGCGAAGGGUUAAUAGCCCCUAGCCUGACGGUACUUGCACAGAAAGCCCCGGCUAACUACGUGCCAGCAGCCGCGGUAAUACGUAGGGGGCGAGCGUUGUCCGGAAUUAUUGGGCGUAAAGAGCGUGUAGGCGGCCUGGUAAGUCUGCCGUGAAACCUUGGGGCUCAACCCCAAGCGUGCGGUGGAUACUGCUAGGCUAGAGGAUGGUAGAGGAGAAUGGAAUUCCCGGUGUAGCGGUGAAAUGCGCAGAUAUCGGGAGGAACACCAGUAGCGAAGGCGGUUCUCUGGGCCAUUCCUGACGCUGAGACGCGAAAGCAUGGGGAGCAAACAGGAUUAGAUACCCUGGUAGUCCAUGCCGUAAACGAUGAACACUAGGUGUGGGGGGAGUCGAAUCCCUCUGUGCCGAAGCCAACGCGUUAAGUGUUCCGCCUGGGGAGUACGGCCGCAAGGCUAAAACUCAAAAGAAUUGACGGGGGCCCGCACAAGCAGCGGAGCAUGUUCUUUAAUUCGAUGCAACGCGAAGAACCUUACCUGGG